CUUUUCUACUUGUUCUCAUCUAAUUAAUUUUAAAAAUGAUUGAUACAUAAUAUAUGAAGGAUGUAAUAAAAAGGGGGAUUGCAGUGUGUUCUCCAUAUGAUAAUGAGCACCUUACUGAUGAAACGUUUUAGCAAUUGGCUAAUCUUUCACAGUCAAAACUGAAGUUUAUGCUUCCCACAGGUAGCCUG